CAGUCUGUUCUGCUUCAAUGCAAGGGCAGGAUGCGAUAACACUAAACACGGAUCGUCACGCCGAAGCAACUGUUUGGCUUCAAUGCUGUCCCGAUGCCUUGAAAGACAGUGGUCCGUCUAAGCCCAGACGCCAGCCCCACGGCUGCCCAAGUUGUCAUUCCCUCCAUCCUGGGCAGCUGUAGGCUCUUGCAGACAAAACCAUUAGAGCUGGCUGACACCCCACAGGGCAGGAAAUGAAUCAUCGCUUUACUCAACCGAAACUGCAGCAGGUUUUAAGGAAGCUAAGCACAGUCGACCAAAUUGAAUCAGUAGCACUUAGCUGGUAAAGAAGUGUCAAGGGACAGUGACCAAUGACAAACUCUCAGGGCAGAUUUUUUUAGCAAGCUCAGGAGCUUCCCAUCUGGUACCAUGUAGCUGCACAGCCCACCAAUGGGCCCCUGCGAGGACCCUCGGCCACGCUGGGCACCUGUGUCAGGUGAGGCGCAUGCGCAGGAUAUCCAGCGUUUCAGGCUCAAGCUGCCUUUGGGUUUCAGUGGAAGAACAACAACAAAAGGUCCGUGUCUUCCUUCCCCAAAUUAAAAAGUUCUACAUUCUGUUUUCAAAAUGGGGAUCUGUCUCAUGUGAACUGAGUUUCCCCAGCUGACAACAUCCCUACCUCCCUGCAUAGCUCUGAAGACGGAAUGAGUCACUGAGUAUGUGAUUGCGUCGUAGAGUCUACCGUAUUACAGAUGUCACCUCUCGCCUCAGUGGCCGUCUCUCAUCCCCCUGAGCCAUCUUCACCAUCAAGUUCAGGAGCAGCAGUGAUAACUUGAUGUCAACAGCGGAUAAGAGCGUUUGCAACCUAUGCUGUGGGGUAGAGACAGAGAAGAUUCAGCCAUGAUGGCCUUCACUCGGACUAGACGCACUUUUUGAGACCAGGCUUCUCUCCAUAGCCCCGGCUGUCCUGGAACUCACUAUGUAGACUAGGCUGGCCUUGAACUCAAGAGAUCUGCCAGCCUCUGCCUCCCGAGGGCUGAGAUUAAAGGUGUGCGCCACCACCGCCUGGCCCUGCUCUACAGCUUUUAAUUGCCCUGUAUAGACAUGCAUGCCUCAGAAGUAUGAAGCUUAAGAACGGCAAAGAAGGGGCUGGAGAGGGGGGUUCCGUCGCUAUCAGAACUUGUUCUUCUAAAGGAGCGGUUCGAUUCCUAGCACCCACAUAGCAGCUCACAGCCAUCCAAAACUCAAAUCCAAAGGGAUCCGAUGCCCUCUUCCGACUUCCACGGGCACCAUGCAUGCACUUGGUACACAGACAUACAUACAAGCAACACAAUCACACAUAAAACAAAAUGAAUACACAAAUAAACAAACAAACAGAAAGGGAGGCCCGAGAAAGGGAGAGACACUUCCUUACCGGCUCUCCCGUUAGAAUGGAGCUGAGCAAGAGAGACGUGGGCGGAGUGGAUGAAGAACGCCCUUCAGCAUGCAAUGACAGCAGAUCCCAUACUUCACUAUCACACAAACCUGGCCCCUCCGAAGACUAGGAAAGGAAGCAAGAAAGCAACGUCCAGGCAACGACAGUUCUUGCAGCUGCACAGGCAAGAGGGAGAAAAACACCUCUUGUAACUUCCUCUGGCCUCGCCUGAGAACUCUGGAGUUUGGGAGGCUAUUAGAAAAAGGUUAAAUGUGAGAGCAGGUAAUGGGAUACCAAGGGGCCCGUGUCAGGGUUGUUUGAACAGUACUUGGAAGCAAUUGCUAUUGAGAGCUGGUGACCACUUUAAAGGGCACUGGGAGAAAGCAGAGUCUGCAAGAAAAGCCUCCUCAGGGCCCUGGGAGCAAGCAGCUGGAGCCUUCCAGCACUGUACAAACAUCCCCGGAAACAUCGGCUCUCCGCUCCUUCGUCCAAGAUGACUGGGUACGCACACGUUCAGCAUAUUUUCCUGUGUUGUUCUUGGCAUCCGUUCAGUUCUGGAAGUAUGUGGCUGUACAGACAUAACUGCACAUCCCCCUGUCUUCCGUUGUAAACUUGGGAGGUCUGGGGUCUGUGUCUUUAACUUCUUGUUGAAUUUA